CAGGACCGUGGCCAUGGAAGUCGGAAUCUGAUAAGGAGUGUGUAACAACUCACCUG
rnacentral:ncRNA from 1 species